rnacentral:rRNA from 1 species
UCUGGCCUGCUCAAUGUUGGUAAUAAAUGGCCGCAGUAUUUUGACUGUGCGAAGGUAGCGUAAUAAUUAGGCUAUUAAUUGUAGUCUUGAAUGAAUGGUUGGACAUAAGAUCUUCUGUUUUUUUUAUAUAAAUGAAUUUUAAUAGUUAGUAAGAAUGCUGAUAUGAAGCAUAAAGACGAGAAGACCCUAUUGAGUUUAAUAUGGUUAUUUUAAGUAUGAUAGUGUAGAUUAAGGUAAAUAUAUUUAGUUGGGGCGACUUUAUUAUAAAACAUUAAAUUAAUAAGGAGUUGUUGAUCCGUUAUUAACGAUUAAUAGAAUAAAUUACCAUAGGGAUAACAGCAUAAUUUUAUUGGAAAGUUCAUAUUGAUAAUAAAGUUUGUGACCUCGAUGUUGAAUCAAGAUACCUAGUAGGCGCAGGAGCUUAUAAAGGUGGACUGUUCGUCCAUUAAAUUCUUACGUGAUCUG